AUGGGGUCUGUGUAUGCUGAGACUCAGAGCCAGAAGCCAGAAGAGCAAGCCUGGCACCCACAGUGCUCCAGUUUCCAGAAGGAAUCACAAAUUCCUUUCCUGUGCAGACAAAGGAACAAUUGUACCACAGGAGAACUUACUGGAAGAAUUUUCCUUUGGGUGGUGGAGUCUGCCCUGGGUGCUGGGAGAUCCAUAGCUCAUCUGGACCGGCCCGAAGUCCCUGAACUGCCCUCUUUGGUGGGCACCCAGGGGCAUCUGAAGGUGGAGAUUUUGAUAUUCUGCACUUUACUGAGCAAGGGAAACUUACCUUCAGGAUCAGUACCCUGAGAACAGGUCACAAUUUAUAAUGACACCUUAGAAAGUGACAGGAAGGCCUGGAAACCCAAGAACCAGGAUUCAAUUGGUGCAUCCUCCUUUUAUUUUUAAGGUGAGUGGGAUUGGAUUUUUUAUUCACUUCACUUGUGUCAAUUUUUCACUGAUAAAAGUGAGCGGACGCCUCAUGUUUACCUCUUCCACCUUGUGGGACAAGCUGGGACAGAGUAGGGCAAGAUGAAGAGGGAUCCUGUCCAUCACCCACUAGGGGUAGGGGGAGGGGUUUAUCUCUUCCCUUCCCACCGAGGACACAAGUUCACAGAACAAAAACAUUAAAAAUCUCCCUUGAGUGAGAACUGAGUUACAUAAAGGCUUUAGUAAGGCUUAUUAAGUUCCUUACAAAUCUUAACUCAUUGGCUCCUCAUUUCAGCCCUACAAGGCACUAUUAUUAUUGCUCCAUUUUACAGACAAGAAGACUGAGGUGUAGAAAGCCAA
rnacentral:lncRNA from 1 species